rnacentral:lncRNA from 1 species
CUUCAGCUUUAGAUUUACCUUUGCUUGCAUAUUCAAACUAGCAAAAACAAACAAAACACCUAGCAAACAAAAACCAAACAACUAAAUAAAAAAAACAAACUACCAGCCAAACAAAUUUAAUAUUGAAUGAGUUCCUUUUCCAUGUUUGUUUCCUCUGUCUUAUUUUUAUUUAUUUAUUUGUUUGUUUGUUUGUUUAUUUUUUUGCUGCAAAAAGCUUUAUUGUUUCCAUUUGGUCCAGGGCUUGGGAGAGGGAUGCAGGGUGGUUACAAAGCUGCCUCUGGCUGCAGGGAGAGGCGGAGGCACGGAUGUCAGCAAGGCCCCCUCAAAGGAUGCUGCUGGACUCCGGAGCUCCUAGUCAUGCUUGAGGGUGAGCCUCUCGAAGAGAUGCUCGCCCAGCCCAGCCUGGGGGCCGGCCAGCCUGCUGAGGUUCGUCAGGUGGUCGCCCAUCUUCUUGAUGAGCUUCACCUCCUCAUCCAGGAAGUGGUUCUCCAGGAAGUCACAGACAUGGGGGCCUGUGCGGGCAGAACCCAGGGCGUGCAGAUCCAGAAGAGCCUGGUUCAGGCUCUUCUCCAGAACCAGGGCAGCUUCCAUGGCAUCCAGGGUUUUCCCCCACUCAUCUUGGGACGGCUUCUGGACGUCCUGGAAGAGGGCGCGGCCGCCGCGCUCGUUUUGCAUCUUCAAGAGACGCUCGGCCCCGUCGCGCUUCUCCUCAGCCAACUCGCGGGAAAAGCGGCCCACACCUUCCAGAGCCACAUCGUCACGGUCGAAAUAGAAGCCCAGAGAGAGGUAGGUGUAGGAGGCCCGCAGAUGCAUGUUGACCAGACGGUUGACGGCGGCCUCCACCUCGGUGGAAUAAUUCUGACGAAUCUGGGAGCUCAUGGUUGAUUGAAGAUCAGGAGGUAAGCCCGAAAUUGGCUGUGGGCUGGUCCCGGAGGCAGCGGGCGGCCGAGAAGAUGGCUCCCAAAGUUGCGACUGGAAAAGAGGUGGGAGGGUGGUCGUUGGCUGGUUGCAGGGGCGUCCCUGGGUCUGUUCCGUCCAAGCACUGGUGAGGCAAGAGACAGAUCCG